CAACUUAUGAUUUGUUGUGGGGUAUCAUUAACUUAUCUUAUUGGAGCAUUCUUGAAUUGGAGGAUUUUGGCUCUGAUAGGAAUCAUUCCUUGUAGUGCACAGGUUCUGAGUCUACCCUUCAUUCCUGAGUCUCCUAGGUGGCUGGCAAAGGUUGGUCACUUGGCAGGGAGCGAAAAUUCUUUAUAGCGCCUUAGGGGAGAGAAUGCCAAUGUUUCUCAAGAGGCCACUGAAAUUAGAGUAUAUAACAAGCGUUUGUUCAUUCGAGUGCUAAACUCGUGUGUUACAAUCUAUCUAGAAAGCAGAAGAAGCAAGGAAAAAGAUACCACAAAGUCUAACACACUAACAUGCACUGUUUUGGUAGGAUUAUACAAAAGCACUUCAGCAGCAUUCAGAAGCUAGCAUUAUUAUAUUAGCACUCAGCACUCAUUAUAUAUUAGCACUCCACUUAUUAUUAUGUUCCUCUUCCUCUAACAUUUCUUCAUCUGCUUCCUUGAAUCUGAGGCUUGCACUCAGCACUCAUGAAGAAUGUGGUGGAAGCCUGUUUGUGAAGGUGUACAUGGAAGGCAUUCCAAUAGGGAGGAAACUCGACACCACUAUUCUCUGGGGUACAGAGAUGGAUGAAGUUGUAGUUCAACCUGGUGAGAGAUGCCAUGUCCUCACUUAUGAAGAUGAAGAAGGAGAUCUUGUUAUGGUUGGGGAUGUUCCUUGGGAGAUGUUUGUUUCCACUGUAAAGAGGUUGAAGAUCACAAGGGUAGACACAUUCACUACCUUUUGAUAAUGCAAAUCUCUAUAUGUUUUGGAUUAAUUAGGUAGCUUCAGAGACACUACUGAGAUUUUCAAUUUUGUUCUUAGUACUACUACUACUAGUGUAGUCUUAAUUACAAGUGUUGAAUCAUCAAACUAUGCACAAAGUUAAGUCCUCA